GCCGCCUCACGGUCCCCGCGCCAACGGCCCCUUCACGGCCCCGGGGCCAGCGGUUGCCUCACGGCUCCCUCACGGCCCCGGGGCCAGCGGUUGCCUCACGGCUCCCUCACGGCCCCGGGGCCAGCGGCCCCUUCAUGGCCUCGGGGACCAACGGCCGCCUCACGGCCGCGGGGCCAACGCCCCCUUCAUGGCCCCGGAGCCGGCGGCCGCCUCACGGUCCCCACACGCCUCCGGAGCCAGCGGCCGCCUCACAGCCCCGGGGCCAACGCCCCCUUCACGGUCCCGGAGCCAGCGGCCGCCCCACGGCCGCGGGGCCAGUGGUUCCCUCAUGAUCCCGCCACGGUCCCGCCGCGCCCCUUCAGCGCCCGCGGCCUCCCCGCCAGGGGCAGGGCUGACCCGCGGGCUCCGCCGACGGCCGCUCCGUUCCGGAGAAGCCGCUCCUGCCGCCGCCGGCGAUCAUUCCCAAAGAACUAAACCUCCGUUAGAGUCCCAGGGAUGGUGAGAAGCUGCGUGGAAAUGACAAGCGGCAGAGCAGACGUGCCCAGCACCGCGGGCGUAACCAGAGCCAGGGAGCAAGCCAGACUUCCCUUCUCAAACCGGCCCCAUGGCGUGGGGAGCGAGGAGUGACACUGAACAGACAAGAACACCCUGGAUGGGCUCCUGCUUCUUCUGCAGAAAUUGUCCUUCUCCAAAAGAAACAUCUAAUGCCAUAUGAUGGUGCACCAAAGAGCUCUGUAUGAGGGAGCAGCUGCAAAUUUGAGCAGCACUGAGUGUAAUGAUUUUGAUUUUUAGGUUUGGGGACCUCAAAGCAGGUUCCUCAAUCUACAUAUAAGGGACUGAGCAUCACAGGGGCUUGCUCUGCCCUGACGUCCUCCUGCCCUGGCUGCUGCGUGGUGUCCUGCUCUAGUGCGAGUCACCCUCCUGUUGGGAUGACAGGCGAUGAGCUUCCCAUCAGUAUUUCAGCUUAAGUCACAGGGCACUACCUGGGUUUCAAUCCGAUUUCCAGACAGGCUCAUUCAGAAACUUCCAAGGAUCACCUGCAGGCUCCCAGCCACGACAGCAGAAGUCACUGACACAGGCUUGGACCCAAGAGCUGCUUGCACAAACUGCACGGCAAUCCAGAACGGGCAGGGACUCCUUUCAGAUUCAUUCGGAAAAGAUCAACAGAAGAUUCUUUUCUAAAGGAUGAUUCCCUGCUUUAAUGAAGCUGAGGUGUCUUCUGCACCCUCCAUCUCCUACCAAAACGGGGAAAACAAAAUGGAAGGGAGGAGGUGACUCCCUGGCGCUGUAUAUCCCAGAGAAAUUACUUUGUACCACCCGAAAAUCCCAUUGUGGUGUUCUUGUAUCCUGAGAAACUGAGGACUCACAAGUGACUUCUCAUUCAUCUCUCCAUUUGCUCCUUUUUUUUCCUUUUCCUCCAUUGAGCUCGUUUG